ACACCUCAACUCUUGUGGUUUCCCGCAAUGAGCUUGGACUGUGGAGGUUUUGCUGGCCCUGUGGUCAACUCCUCUCAAAUGGAUCAGCUUACCAGUGUUUGGUGGCAUCAUGGGUGUGAUAACUAUCCGCGCCUGUGGUCGUUUCCAAAUAACCCCCAGUGAUGGAGGUUCGCUGGAGCUUAUAAAUGUCUCUCCCCAGCGAAGACAGCAUUCGAAC
rnacentral:misc_RNA from 1 species